ensembl:rRNA 5S_rRNA 5S ribosomal RNA
ACUUACGGCCAUACCAUCCUGAAUACUCCCGAUCUCGUCUGGUCUCGGAAGCUAAGCAGGGUCGGGCCUGGUUAGUACUUGGAUGGGAGACCAACUGGGAAUACCAAGUGCUGUAAGUG